GUGGGAGGCCGCGCCUUCUUGCUACAAAAGCCGAUAAAACCAUGUGUUUGGGUGUGGCACCAAGAGCACUUUCCCCUGGGUGAAUCUCACAGCCUCGUUCAAGAGCAGGAGCUGAUUGAGUUGCUGCCCUUGGACUCUGCGCCCAGCUCCGUCCUCUCCAACUCCGUGGUCGCCAUGUGCAACCUCAGCGAACUGCAGCCAGCUCAGGAUCCAGAGCUGGAGUCUCACUCCUGCAGGCCACCAUGCCCAGUGUGUCACCGUGGCCACGGACAAGGACCAUCACAUACAGGCACUGCACAAGACCUUGGCGGAGAACCUGGAUAUAAUGCUGAGGAGCCUGCUGGCAGCGUCCCCCAACACUGACUAGCUCCAGCACAUCUUAGAGAUGAGCAUGAUGGGGAUGGGCCAGGGAAUUCUGCUUGAACCCCGUGGGAGUCUGCAAAGGAGAGACUGAAAGAUCCAUGUUUCCAGGGUAUCCCCCUAGCUGGGAUCCCAUGGGGCCAGCUUGGCCAGUAUACUCAGAGCCUGCAAUGCUGUCCUCCUUCUGGGAAUAGAGGGAAGGAGCCUGGCUCUGCAUGGCUGCUGCAGAGCCUCCUUUUGGCUGGAUGUGGUGUAGCCAUUCACAGCAUACCAGGCUGGCUUGGGGAGCAAGAGCCUCAACCCUAGUGAGAUCCAGGGGAUGGUCCUGAGAGAAGAGUCACUGGCUUCUUCCUACGAAGACCCUGAGAUACAGGAAGGUCCUCUGGGAAUCAGCCCUUUUCUCCCAGGAACACUGAGACCCUGGGGGGAUUGUCCUCACCACCACUGACUCUGUGACUCUUAGGGCUUCAGAGCAGGGAGGGGGUCAGGGGUCUGACUCCUGCCUGAUGAGCUGUUCAUGAGUCAGGGGAGCAGAGAGGGUGAGACCAGCCCCAAGACCGAAUAUUGUCCCAAUCUACAGUGACUGGCAAGUCACAAAUAAUGUCCUGAGUGCAGCAAAUCCCUUCUCAAGCCCUGAGAUCAGUGAGUCGGCCAUUUCCACCAAGCACAAAGUCUUUAGCCGCUGGAGGUCUCUUUUAUACAGCAUGUGGGCCUGCCCUUUCACCAUGACCUGCCUCCUCCUCCCACAGCACACCGGCUUCUGCAUCCACUCCAGAGUCACCCAGAAGAGAGCCAGAGCCGUAAAACCAGCACUGGCCUGCUGCAAUACGCCAGCUACCUCCCAGGAUUUAACACAAGUGACCUUUGACCCUGAGCGUAGGCAGGGCUGGCUCUGGCAAGACUGUGGGAGCUAGGGGCUCUGGGCUGGGAUGCAGUCAGAGCUGGGAAUCAGAUGAUCAAUAGGCAAGUUCUUCUUCUCCUGGCUAAGUGGUGCUUCCUGGGUCUAGGGAACUGUUCCACAGCUGCUCCAGCCUGAUUGUGCCUGGCCUUGGUUCGUUCUUGUUAUUCUGGAGCAGCUGGUAUGUGUGUGUUCUCAUGCAGGGCUCUGCCCUAGUUCCUCUUCUCCAGGCUCUAUUCAGGACAGAGGAAAUUAGGGCUCUAGCUCCUUUCCCCAUGUGCCCCUACACAGAACCUGGGAAGGCCAAGACUCCUGGCCUGGGAUAGACUGGGAGCUGAAGGUGAAAGACUAAUGGAUUCACCCUCCUCUUCCUUCUACUAGAACUCCUCCGAGUUCCCCUACACAAUUAACUCUUUACUGUUGGUGAUCCAGCUGCAAGCUGCUGAGACUGAAAUCAAAGACUUGCCGUCCGAGUUUGAGCUGGAGAAGUUUGAUUAUCUCACCACCAUUCGCCGAAGGAGCGGGACUGCUUGCUCUUUCAGCAGCUUCUGGAUCAGGUACA